AACCGGAGGAAGGUGGGGAUGACGUCAAAUCAUCAUGCCCCUUAUGACCUGGGCUACACACGUGCUACAAUGGGCAGAACAAAGGGCAGCGAAGCCGCGAGGCUAAGCCAAUCCCACAAAUCUGUUCUCAGUUCGGAUCGCAGUCUGCAACUCGACUGCGUGAAGCUGGAAUCGCUAGUAAUCGCGGAUCAGCAUGCCGCGGUGAAUACGUUCCCGGGCCUUGUACACACCGCCCGUCACACCACGAGAGUUUGUAACACCCGAAGUCGGUGAGGUAACCUUUUGGAGCCAGCCGCCGAAGGUGGGACAGAUGAUUGGGGUGAAGUCGUAACAAGGUAGCCGUAUCGGAAGGUGCGGCUGGAUCACCUCCUUUCUA
rnacentral:rRNA from 1 species